rnacentral:rRNA from 1 species
GACGAACGCUGGCGGCGUGCUUAACACAUGCAAGUCGAACGGAAAGGCCCUGCUUUUGUGGGGUGCUCGAGUGGCGAACGGGUGAGUAACACGUGAGUAACCUGCCCUUGACUUUGGGAUAACUUCAGGAAACUGGGGCUAAUACCGGAUAGGAGCUCCUGCGGCAGGGUGGGGGUUGGAAAGUUUCGGCGGUUGGGGAUGGACUCGCGGCUUAUCAGCUUGUUGGUGGGGUAGUGGCUUACCAAGGCUUUGACGGGUAGCCGGCAUGAGAGGGUGACCGGCCCCAUUGGGACUGCGAUAGGGCCCAGACUGCUACGGGAGGCAGCAGUGGGGAAUAUUGCACAAUGGGCGGAAGCCUGAUGCAGAGACGCCGCGUGCGGGAUGCCGGCCUUCGGGUUGUAAAACGCUUUCGCCUGUGACGAAGCGUGAGUGACGGUAAUGGGUAAAGAAGCACCGGCUAACUACGUG